rnacentral:rRNA from 1 species
UACGUAGGGUGCGAGCGUUAAUCGGAUUUACUGGGCGUAAAGCGUGCGCAGGCGGCCCGUUAAGACAGGUGUGAAAUCCCCGGGCUCAACCUGGGAAUGGCAUUUUGAACUGGCAGGCUCGAGUACGGUAGAGGGGGGUGGAAUUCCUGGUGUAGCAGUGAAAUGCGUAGAGAUCAGGAGGAACACCGAUGGCGAAGGCAGCCCCCUGGGCCUGUACUGACGCUCAUGCACGAAAGCGUGGGGAGCAAACAGG